CUCAGGACGAACGCUGGCGGCGUGCUUAACACAUGCAAGUCGAACGAUGAACCGGGUGCUUGCACCUGGGGAUUAGUGGCGAACGGGUGAGUAACACGUGAGUAACCUGCCCUGGACUCUGGGAUAACCCCGAGAAAUCGGAGCUAAUACCGGAUAGGACCUUGCCCCGCAUGGGGGUUGGUGGAAAGUUUUUCGGUCUGGGAUGGACUCGCGGCCUAUCAGCUUGUUGGUGAGGUAAUGGCUCACCAAGGCGUCGACGGGUAGCCGGCCUGAGAGGGUGACCGGCCACACUGGGACUGAGACACGGCCCAGACUCCUACGGGAGGCAGCAGUGGGGAAUAUUGCACAAUGGGCGCAAGCCUGAUGCAGCAACGCCGCGUGCGGGAUGACGGCCUUCGGGUUGUAAACCGCUUUUAGUAGGGAAGAAGCCUUUCGGGGUGACGGUACCUGCAGAAAAAGGACCGGCUAACUACGUGCCAGCAGCCGCGGUAAUACGUAGGGUCCGAGCGUUGUCCGGAAUUAUUGGGCGUAAAGAGCUCGUAGGCGGUUUGUCGCGUCUGCUGUGAAAUCCCGGGGCUCAACUCCGGGCCUGCAGUGGGUACGGGCAGACUUGAGUGGUGUAGGGGAGACUGGAAUUCCUGGUGUAGCGGUGGAAUGCGCAGAUAUCAGGAGGAACACCGAUGGCGAAGGCAGGUCUCUGGGCACUUACUGACGCUGAGGAGCGAAAGCGUGGGGAGCGAACAGGAUUAGAUACCCUGGUAGUCCACGCCGUAAACGUUGGGCGCUAGAUGUGGGGACC
rnacentral:rRNA from 1 species